rnacentral:rRNA from 1 species
AACGAACGCUGGCGGCAUGCCUAACACAUGCAAGUCGAACGAGACCUUCGGGUCUAGUGGCGCACGGGUGCGUAACGCGUGGGAACCUGCCCUUAGGUUCGGAAUAACUCCCCGAAAGGGGUGCUAAUACCGGAUAAUGUCUUCGGACCAAAGAUUUAUCGCCUUUGGAUGGGCCCGCGUUGGAUUAGCUAGUUGGUAGGGUAAAAGCCUACCAAGGCGACGAUCCAUAGCUGGUCUGAGAGGAUGAUCAGCCACACUGGGACUGAGACACGGCCCAGACUCCUACGGGAGGCAGCAGUGGGGAAUAUUGGACAAUGGGCGAAAGCCUGAUCCAGCAAUGCCGCGUGAGUGAUGAAGGCCUUAGUGUUGUAAAGCUCUUUUACCCGGGAUGAUAAUGACAGUACCGGGAGAAUAAGCUCCGGCUAACUCCGUG